rnacentral:rRNA from 1 species
CGCCGCCACGGUAAUACGGAGGGUGCAAGCGUUAUCCGGAUUUAUUGGGUUUAAAGGGUCCGUAGGCGGAUCUGUAAGUCAGUGGUGAAAUCUCACAGCUUAACUGUGAAACUGCCAUUGAUACUGCAGGUCUUGAGUAAAUUUGAAGUGGCUGGAAUAAGUAGUGUAGCGGUGAAAUGCAUAGAUAUUACUUAGAACACCAAUUGCGAAGGCAGGUCACUAAGAUUUAACUGACGCUGAUGGACGAAAGCGUGGGGAGCAAACAGGAUUAGAUACCCCUGUAGUCCCUGUCUCUUAUACA